rfam:Triticum aestivum genome assembly, contig: Triticum_aestivum_CS42_TGACv1_scaffold_080202_1DS
UUGGUACUCCCUCCGUCCGAAAAUACUUGUCAUCAAAAUAGACAAAAAGGGAUGUAUUUAGAACUAAAAUACAUCUAGAUACAUCCCCUUUUAUUUAUUUUGAUGACAAGUAUUUUCGGCGGAGGGAGUAUGUC